CACAGUGUCACUUCACCAGUGAUGGAGCCUCCAGCCCCCGCCCUCUGUCCCUCCCCCCCCCCCCCGAGUCUCCCAUCUCUUGUCUCCAGCAAGCUGCUGCAAUCAGCACAGACCCUGAUUGGACUUGGGCAGGUAACGGCCAGAAGUUCCAUCGCACCACACCUACUGGCGAUACACUCCUCCCGGUCUUCUCUGUCCAUUUCUCCAUUUCCGUCCCCGCACCUCCUGGCUCCCCCCCCUCCCCCUCUCACCCCCUCUCACCCCCUCUCACCCUGCAUCAUACUUAAUUUGCUCCAGAUAACACAUCAGCUUCAACGCCCAUCCACAAACUCUGUCACCAUGAUGCCCACAGAUGGCAACUUCCUGUGGUCCUGCCCAGUGAUUGGUGGAGAGACUUCCAAACAGAGAACAGCUGGUGAGGGAUGA
rnacentral:lncRNA from 1 species